GCGUAACAAGGUCUCCGUUGGUGAACCAGCGGAGGGAUCAUUACCGAGUUUACAACUCCCAAACCCCUGUGAACAUACCACUUGUUGCCUCGGCGGAUCAGCCCGCUCCCGGUAAAACGGGACGGCCCGCCAGAGGACCCCUAAACUCUGUUUCUAUAUGUAACUUCUGAGUAAAACCAUAAAUAAAUCAAAACUUUCAACAACGGAUCUCUUGGUUCUGGCAUCGAUGAAGAACGCAGCAAAAUGCGAUAAGUAAUGUGAAUUGCAGAAUUCAGUGAAUCAUCGAAUCUUUGAACGCACAUUGCGCCCGCCAGUAUUCUGGCGGGCAUGCCUGUUCGAGCGUCAUUUCAACCCUCAAGCACAGCUUGGUGUUGGGACUCGCGUUAAUUCGCGUUCCUCAAAUUGAUUGGCGGUCACGUCGAGCUUCCAUAGCGUAGUAGUAAAACCCUCGUUACUGGUAAUCGUCGCGGCCACGCCGUUAAACCCCAACUUCUGAAUGUUGACCUCGGAUCAGGUAGGAAUACCCGCUGAACUUAAGCAUAUCAAAGGCGGGGGAGGAAAA
rnacentral:rRNA from 1 species